UAUAGCAAGCUAAGUUAGCAUAACUGCUAACACCAAAACAAACACAGGCUGUGCUGUGGAGUGGACUUUGGCAGCAGCAAAAGCAGUGGGUUAUAUCUACUAUUGCAAGCUAGUCUGCUUAGACAUACACAUUAUUAUUUUGAAAAUGUUGACAACCCCUAACUGGCCACCUAAUGUAGUAGCUAGCAGCUAUGGCCAGCACCUAAUGUAGUAGCUAGCAGCUAUGGCCAGCACCAGCAUGACUUCUGCAGCUGCAACAGGAGACAAACCCUCAGCUUCAGGCUCCAAGAAGAAAAAUGAAAAUAAGUUGGCUAGAGACGAGUUUAGUUUCCUGUCCAGUAUCAUGGGCAUCAUGUACAACCUGAGGACACAGGUGGGAUGUGGUACCACCUGCUAUCCCCAGAGGAUUGGGAGGAGUUGGGAGAGAACAGUUGACUGCGACGUAAGAAACACGACUACAGGAUUGCUCUGUUUGGAGGCUCCCAUCCAUAGUCCUGCAGAUACUUCAACCCUAAGCUGGUCAGACAUCCGUCCGUUUGAGAAGCGUCGUGAUGCCACGGUGGUGUUCUGGGAUAUUGUUGUCUACAUUCUGGGAGGAUCUCAGCUGUUCCCCAUAAAGAGGAUGGACUGUUACAACAUACUGAAGGACAACUGUUACUCCAAACGAUGUACUGGAAGUGUGUGUGUGUGUGUGUGUGUGUGUGUGUGUGUGUGUGUGUGUGUGUGUGUGUUGUAUUAGAGUCUGAAAUCGGAGCAGUGUGACUUGUGUUGCAACACAGAGAAAGUUGUGUGUGUGUGUGUGUGUGUGUGUGUGUGUUCUAACCUUUUCUCUGUUGUAAACCAGGCCCCCUACACCACUGGACAGUAAAACACACACACACACACACACACACACACUAGAGGACAGGGAGGUGUUAGGCUUAUGGCUGAUCUAUAUCAGCAUUGUAAUGUAAUGUUCAAUACAGAACAUUGUAUUGAAGUGUGUGUGUGUGUGCGCUAAUUUUUGUCAGAGUGUGUCCCUGUGUCUCUGUCCGUCUCUCCCUCUAGGCUGCUCAGCGUGGAACCUGAGUGUUAUGACACGCUGUGUGAGUCGUGGCGGACCAGCAUGCUGAUGCCUCAUUGUAGCCACGGCAGAGUGGAGGCCAACGGCCUUAUCUACAGUGCUUUCAGAAAGUAUUCAUACCUCUUGCCUUAUUCCACAUUUUGUUGUG